AUGUGUGGCAAUAACAUGUCAACCCCGCUCCCCGCCGUCAUGCCCGCCGCCUGGAAGGCCAUCACUGCGGUGGUUUUCCUGCAUGGAUUGGGAGAUACUGGGCACGGAUGGGCAGAAGCCUUUGCAGGUAUCAGAAGUUCACAUAUCAAAUAUAUCUGCCCGCAUGCGCCUGUUAGGCCUGUUACAUUAAAUAUGAACAUGGCUAUGCCUUCAUGGUUUGAUAUUAUUGAGCUUUCACCAGAUUCACAGGAGGAUGAAUCUUGGAUUAAACAGGCAGCAGAAAAUAUAAAAGCUUUGAUUGAUCAAUAAGUGAAGAAUAGCAUUCCUUCUAACAGAAUUAUUUUGGGAGGGUUUUCUCAGGGAAGAGCUUUAUCUUUAUAUACUGCCCUUACCACACAGCAGAAACUAGCGGGUGUCACUGCACUCAGUUGCUGGCUUCCACUUCGGGCUUCCUUUCCACAGGGUCCUGUCGGUGGUGCUACUAGAGAUGUUUCUAUUCUCCAGUGCCACGGGGAUUGUGACCCUUUAGUUUCCCUGAGGUUUGGUUCUCUUACAGUUGAAAAACUAAAAACAUUGGUGAAUCCAGCCAAUGUGACCUUUAAAACCUAUGAAGGUAUGAUGCACAGUUCGUGUCAACAGGAAAUGAUGGAUGUCAAGCAAUUCAUUGAUAAACUCCUACCCCCAAUUGAUUGACAUCACUAAGAGGCCUUGUGUAGAAGUACACCAGCAUCAUUGUAGUAGAGUAUAAACCUUUUCCCAUGCCCAGUCUUCAAAUUUCUAAUGUUUUGCAGUGUUAAAAUGUUUUGCAAAUAUAUGCCAAUGGCACAGAUCAAAUAA